rnacentral:lncRNA from 1 species
CUUGAACUUUUCAUUCUUCUGCCUCGGUAUCCUUUGUAGCUGAGUUUAGUGUGCAAUAUCACCCCUGGCUUUUAAACUACUGAAGUUUUUCUUGAUAUUUUUUUCAAAUCGUGAGGAGUUGGUUCCAGACCUGGGAUUUAAAUAAGUAUUUUAGUUCUUACAGAUGCUAAACUUCCAACUUAAUCUCAUUUCUGGAUGGAGCUCCGUAAACAAAAAGGAGAAAAAAAAAAUGUUCCUGUGGCCAAAAUUUUGAAAACUUCUACUUCAGAGCUACCUUAUACUGUAUGUAUUAGUCUGCUUUCCUGUCACUGGGAUAAAGUACCUGACACCAACAAUUUCAAGAGGGAGAUGUUUAUUUUGACUCAGUUUCCAUGGAUGCAGUUCAUGUCUGGUUGGUUCUGAGGCAACAAUGCCAUGGCGGAAGAGCAUGGCAGAGGAAAGCUCUUUACCGAACGGAAGCCAGGAAACAAGGAGAAGGGAAGAGCAAAGGGAGACUGUGGACAGAAAUCUCUACAAACUCAGGCAAAGUAAACCUCUCCUCCUAUAAGUUGAGAAUGCUGGGCCUGGUGUCUCAGUAAUAAGAGAAGAAUCCAGUUCCUGAAUUCAAAUUUUCAC